rnacentral:rRNA from 1 species
UACGGGGGGGGGCAAGCGUUUGUUCGGAAUUACUGGGCGUAAAGGGCUCGUAGGUGGCCAACUAAGUCAGACGUGAAAUCCCCAGGCUCAACUUGGGAACUGCGUCUGAUACUGGAUGGCUUGAAUUCGGGAGAGGGAUGCAGAAUUCCAGGUGUAGCGGUGAAAUGCGUAGAUAUCUGGAGGAAUACCGGUGGCGAAGGCGGCAUCCUGGACCGAUAUUGACACUGAUGAGCGAAAGCUAGGGGAGCAAACGGG